UUCAAGCCAAGCAGGGACAGAAGGUUGCUCCUCCGAUCUGUCCAGGUGAGCGUCGAUCCAGCAAGUCUCCGACCACCAGGAGCAUAUCUGUCGCGCCUGUAGUUGCGCCGCCAGCUGCUCCGCCACCAGGUCGCGCCACCACUGCAAGUCAGCCCCUCCUGCGUUGAUCUCAGGUGGUCCAAUCGCUUCCAGCACGUGUAGUUUCAAUCCGGUACGCGUAAAAUCCCAAUCCUGCAAGAAAAUUAUAUUUUGGGGUAUAAAUCAAUUUUAAUAAUUUUAGUUAAUUAAUUUAAUUUAAUGAAUUGUGGUUAAUUGAAUGUAGUAAUUUUAGUUAGUUUAAUUUUAGUCAUUGGGAGUAGUUAAAUUAAUUUGAAUUAAUGUUGAUUUAUUGAUUAAUUAAAAUAUUUGACUAAUUAAAUUUAAUUCUAGUACUACA
rnacentral:lncRNA from 1 species